rnacentral:rRNA from 1 species
GAUGAACGCUAGCUACAGGCUUAACACAUGCAAGUCGAGGGGCAGCAUGGUCUUAGCUUGCUAAGGCCGAUGGCGACCGGCGCACGGGUGAGUAACACGUAUCCAACCUGCCGUCUACUCUUGGACAGCCUUCUGAAAGGAAGAUUAAUACCCGAUGGCAUAGUUCUUCCGCAUGGUAGAACUAUUAAAGAAUUUCGGUCAUCGAUGGGGAUGCGUUCCAUUAGCUUGUUGGCGGGGUAACGGCCCACCAAGGCAUCGAUGGAUAGGGGUUCUGAGAGGAAGGUCCCCCACAUUGGAACUGAGACACGGUCCAA